ACAGUGACAGAGUUAGGGAGGGAGUGACUAGUGACAGAGAGAGGGAUGGGGUGACUAGUGACAGAGUGUGGAAGAGGGUGACUAGGGACAGAGGGGGUGAUUAGUGACACAGUGACAGAGUUAGGGAGGGAGUGACUAGUGACAGUCACCCCCUCCCUCCCUCUGUCACUAGUCACUCCCUCCGUCACUAGUCACUCCCUCACUCCGUCACCAGUCAUCCCCUCACUCCGUCACCAGUCACCCCUUCCCUCCCUCACUCUGCCACUAGU